rnacentral:rRNA from 1 species
GGCGAACGGCUGAGUAACACGUGGGCAACCUGCCCUUUGCACUGGGAUAGCCUCGGGAAACCGAGGUUAAUACCGGAUACUCCAUAUCCAUCGCAUGAUAGAUAUGGGAAAGCUCCGGCGGCAAAGGAUGGGCCCGCGGCCUGUUAGCUAGUUGGUAAGGUAAGAGCUUACCAAGGCGAUGAUAGGUAGCCGGCCUGAGAGGGUGGACGGCCACAAGGGGACUGAGAUACGGCCCUUACUCCUACGGGAGGCAGCAGUC